rnacentral:rRNA from 1 species
GCUUGCACCUUUCAAGCGAGUGGCGAACGGGUGAGUAACACGUGGAUAACCUGCCUCAAGGCUGGGGAUAACAUUUGGAAACAGAUGCUAAUACCGAAUAAAACUUAGUAUCGCAUGAUACAAAGUUGAAAGGCGCUACGGCGUCACCUAGAGAUGGGUCCGCGGUGCAUUAGUUAGUUGGUGGGGUAAAGGCCUACCAAGACAAUGAUGCAUAGCCGAGUUGAGAGACUGAUCGGCCACAUUGGGACUGAGACACGGCCCAAACUCCUACGGGAGGCUGCAGUAGGGAAUCUUCCACAAUGGGCGAAAGCCUGAUGGAGCAACGCCGCGUGUGUGAUGAAGGCUUUAGGGUCGUAAAGCACUGUUGUAUGGGAAGAAAUGCUAGAAUAGGGAAUGAUUCUAGUUCGACGGUACCAUACCAGAAAGGGACGGCUAAAUACGUGCCAGCAGCCGCGGUAAUACGUAUGUCCCGAGCGUUAUCCGGAUUUAUUGGGCGUAAAGCGAGCGCAGACGGUUGAUUAAGUCUGAUGUGAAAGCCCGGAGCUCAACUCCGGAAUGGCAUUGGAAACUGGUUAACUUGAGUGUUGUAGAGGUAAGUGGAACUCCCUGUAGAAACCGU